rnacentral:rRNA from 1 species
UACGUAGGGGGCAAGCGUUGUCCGGAUUUAUUGGGCGUAAAGAGCGUGUAGGCGGCUUUACAGGUCCGUUGUGAAAACUCGAGGCUCAACCUCGAGACGCCGGUGGAAACCGUGUGGCUAGAGUCCGGAAGAGGAGAGUGGAAUUCCUGGUGUAGCGGUGAAAUGCGCAGAUAUCAGGAAGAACACCCGUGGCGAAGGCGGCUCUCUGGGACGUGACUGACGCUGAGACGCGAAAGCGUGGGGAGCAAACAGG